rnacentral:rRNA from 1 species
UACAGAGGGGGCAAGCGUUGUUCGGAAUUACUGGGCGUAAAGGGCGCGUAGGCGGCCUUCUAAGUCGAACGUGAAAUCCCCGGGCUCAACCCGGGAACUGCGUCCGAUACUGGAAGGCUUGAAUCCGGGAGAGGGAUGUGGAAUUCCAGGUGUAGCGGUGAAAUGCGUAGAUAUCUGGAAGAACACCAGUGGCGAAGGCGGCUCACUGGCCCGGUACUGACGCUGAGAUACGAAAGCGUGGGGAGCAAACAGG